rnacentral:rRNA from 1 species
CCCCUAGACGUUCUGGGCUGCACGCGCGCUACAAUAAUACGCCCAGCGAGUAUCACCGAGCUCGAAAGGGCAAGGUAAACAAUAGAAAAGGUACUGUAAUGGUUAUAGAUCCUUGUAAUUAUUGAUCUUCAACGAGGAAUUCCUAGUAAGUAUGUGUCAUCAUCACGCACUGAUUACGUCCCUGCCCUUUGUACACACCGCCCGUCGCUCCUACCGAUUGAAUGCUCAGGUGAGCCAUUCGGACUUUCAUCAUGCUGGUUUCCAGUUUUGAUGAAGGAAAGUCUUGCGAACCUUAUCAUUUAGAGGAAGGAGAAGUCGUAACA